UACAGAGGUCCCGAGCGUUGUUCGGAUUCACUGGGCGUAAAGGGUGCGUAGGCGGCCACCGCAAGUCGACUGUGAAAUCUCCGGGCUUAACCCGGAAAGGUCAGCCGAUACUGCGGGGCUAGAGUGCAGAAGGGGCAACUGGAAUUCUCGGUGUAGCGGUGAAAUGCGUAGAUAUCGAGAGGAACACCUGCGGCGAAGGCGGGUUGCUGGGCUGACACUGACGCUGAAGCGCGAAAGCUAGGGGAGCGAACGGG
rnacentral:rRNA from 1 species